GAGCAGCUGCGCCACCGGCUCAGCCUCGCGGCGGGGGAAACCCGAGCUCCCAACAAAACGGUUCCAUCUUUGGCUAGGCCUUUGGUAUUUCAAGGCGCUGCCGGUGGGGAGAGAUGCCGCGUGCCUGAGAGGCUCUGGGAGAUGUUAUGUGGUCAACAGGGACUGAGGCUCUUUAAGCCCUUAAAUCUCUAAGGGCUAAAUCUCCUUCCUGAUAUUCGCCCCCAAACCGGCACCAAAGAAGGCCCAGAGAGGUUUAACAACUUCCUCAGAAUCACACAGCUUCCAAAUGGUUGGGUUGGGUUUACAUUUAGGCGGUCUUGCUCCAGAGCCAGUGCUCCUAACCUUUGCAAGCCACGAACCUCAAGAAAGUGGAGAAGGAAACGCUGGGAAAUCUGGAAGUCAGACAUGGCAAAGAGCUAAUGCUGGCAGCUGUUGGGAUGUCCUCUUCCAGGAAUGGUGAUGAGUUUCCCUGGAUCCAGCCCUGGCUUGGCUGAGGUUUUUCUCACUGUAAGAAGAGGACAAUAGCCUAUGAUCUACAGUGCCCAUUCCAACUCAGAGAAUCUUUACAUCUGGAGAUCUAUAGCAGGGCUAUCCCUAGUGACAUGCGUGAAGAAGCUUGGAAAUGGUGCUGGGUAGGAGCUGAGUGUGCAGAAUGUGGAAAGGCAUUCUAAACCAAAGGAAGAACACGAGUAAAGAUGAUGAAGCAGGGAUAAGGCUAAAAUGAAAUUUGUGAUCUGAUCCACAUACAAGCACAGUGUAGUACAGCUGGAAUAUAGAGAAGAGCUUGAAGACUUAUGAGCAACUAUCCCGGUACUCUUGGAGGCUCUGCAACCACAGUUUGAGAAACUCCGCGUUCAAAGUUAAAAACUGUCACCUGAAUAGUUAAUAACAUCAAAGAUUGUGAAAGCAAGUAUAAAUAACACAGAGAUUAAAAUAAUGAGGCAGGAUCAGAAAGUGAGUGUUAUAUUUAUCUAUUUUUUCC
rnacentral:lncRNA from 1 species